UACAGAGGUCCCAAGCGUUGUUCGGAUUCACUGGGCGUAAAGGGUGCGUAGGUGGUCAGGUAAGUCCGAUGUGAAGUCUCCAGGCUCAACCUGGAAAUGGCAUUGGAUACUAUCUGGCUUGAGGAGUGGAGGGGGGACUGGAAUUCUCGGUGUAGAGGUGAAAUUCGUAGAUAUUCGGCGGAACACCAGUGGCGAAGGCGACUCACUGGCCCGAUACUGACGCUGAGGCGCGAAAGCGUGGGGAGCAAACAGG
rnacentral:rRNA from 1 species